rnacentral:lncRNA from 1 species
UACUGGAUCAAAGGGUAUGCACAGUUUUGUAGCUGUACCCUUUGGGUAUAGUUCCAAAUUGUGGUAGGAAAUCUUUUUAACUUGUUUUCCCUGUAUGCUAGUAUGGAAAUUUGCUAGACUCUGUUCAAAUUCAGGCCUCCCUGCUCUUCUAUGAGACUGAGAUUGAGUAGGCUUCAAGGACUGUUGCUUCCUCCCAGAUGCCUUUGCUUUUUGACCUGAGUCCAAACUAUUGCAGCUACAGCCCUGGAAUUCACCCAAGUCAGCACCAAGCAUGGGACCUGCUCUUUUAGCAUUUCCCAAUUCUGUGUAUUGAUCUUUAGCAUUCCUGAUUCUGUGUAUUUAUCUCCAUGUACCAAUUUUUAUUGAUAUUCAAGGAGGACCAACACCUGUGGUGUGAGGGCUUGUGGAGCUCUUUUCAAGGCUGCUCUUCCAUCUUUGGCAUCCACCUGGCAUUCUCACCUGUGAUUCUAAGACACUGUAGCUUGCAUAGCUGCUACACCCCCAGCAAACCACCUGGGCAGGUUGUUCCCCCACGACUGGAAUUUACUCCUUUUGUCCUUUUGAGACUUACAAGUCCAAGGUUCUUUCAAGGCUCUGCUCAGAUGCUAUAAUCUGAAACUUUUCUCUGAAACUCCUAGUGAGUUGUUGGUGCUCUCUGUCCUCAAACUGUCUGGUGACUCUUCCACAUGGUAAGCCCUUGCCUUGUUGGUGAACCUUUUCGAGUUCGAGGGCCCAGAAGGCAAAUUCAAGCUGUCUGUGAGCCCCUAGAUUGCCAGGGAGAUGAGGGAGCUUUGGAUGGCUGGACAGAGGGGUGGGACAUGGAUCCAUGGCCCAAAAAGCUGCUUGUGCUUAGUGUAACGCUCAAAAAUGUGAGUUCUUAAAAUGGAAAGGUAGAGAGCUAGAUCAAAGAUGGCUCAAACCCAAGUGUCUGGGGGGGAUGAUGGUGCCAACUAUAAAAUGAGGACGUUGGGUCAACUGAGAGGCAAGGUUUAAGAAUCACAGAUAUAAUGCAGGACAUAAAACAGGGACAAGGCAGAAACACUUUGGAAGAGUAUGGUGAUGCCAGGUCUGGAGUCAGGAAGACCUGGGUUCAAAUAUGUCCUCAGAUACUUCCUAGCUACGUGAGCCUGGGCAAGUCCACUUAACUGAUUGCCUUGCCUCUGCCUUUCUGUCCUAGAGUUGAUACUAACACAGAUGGUAAAAGUUAAAAAAACAAAACAAAAAACUUCUCAGUUUAACUGUGGGCCUUAUUCUCCAUGUUUACAUUUGUUUUAGAAGAAGUAAACGGUCCCUGGACUAGAUUUGGCUAUGACCAGAUAUAGUCUACUCCUCUCUGCCAACCCCUGGCCCCCUAACAUAACCCCUCCAACAACCCCCACAUUAUAAAUCACUCUUCUGUUAAGUUUUACUUAAAAAAAAGAGAAAGAAAUGCCAAAGGCGAUAGUCCAAAGUGCCACUGGCUUUCUGACAAGCUCCUCCCCAUCCUCCCCAGCUCAGCCUUGCCCGGACAGUGGCUGUGCUUGUUGGCACCCAGACCCCAGGGACGGUGGGACAGGCAGCUGCCAGUGGCAGUGUAAACCACUAAAACCUGGGACCUAAGCACAACUACCC